CACAAGCGGUGGAGCAUGUGGUUAAUUCGAUGCAACGCGAAGAACUUACCUGGCUUGACAUCCCGGGAAUCCCCUGGAAACAGGGAGUGCCCUUCGGGAACCCGGUGACAGGUGCUGCAUGGCUGUCGUCAGCUCGUGUCGUGAGAUGUUGGGUUAAGUCCCGCAACGAGCGCAACCCUUGUCUUUAAUUGCCAUCAUUUAGUUGGGCACUUUAAAGAGACUGCCGGUGUUAAGCCGGAGGAAGGUGGGGAUGACGUCAAGUCCUCAUGGCCUUUAUGCCCAGGGCUACACACGUGCUACAAUGGGCGGUACAAAGAGAUGCCAACUCGCGAGAGCGCGCCAAUCUCAGAAAGCCAUCCUCAGUUCGGAUUGGAGUCUGCAACUCGACUCCAUGAAGUUGGAAUCGCUAGUAAUCGCGGAUCAGCACGCCGCGGUGAAUACGUUCCCGGGCCUU
rnacentral:rRNA from 1 species